rnacentral:rRNA from 1 species
UUGGAGGGCAAGUCUGGUGCCAGCAGCCGCGGUAAUUCCAGCUCCAAUAGCGUAUAUUAAAGUUGUUGCAGUUAAAAAGCUCGUAGUUGAAUUUCGGGGUUCUACCGUUGGUCGGGCAAUAGUCUGUACUGGCGUGUAGAAUUUCUACCUUCUGGGGAACUAUCAUGUUAUUUAUUUAGCGUGGUAGGAAACCAGGACCUUUACCUUGAAAAAAUUAGAGUGUUCAAAGCAGGCUUACGUCUGAAUACAUUAGCAUGGAAUAAUAAAAUAGGACGUUUGAUUCUAUUUUGUUGGUUUCUAGGAUCGACGUAAUGAUUAAUAGGGAUAGUUGGGGGCAUUAGUAUUCAAUUGUCAGAGGUGAAAUUCUUGGAUUUAUUGAAGACUAACUACUGCGAAAGCAUUUGCCAAGGAUGUUUUCAUUAAUCAAGAACGAAAGUUAGGGGAUCGAAGACGAUCAGAUACCGUCGUAGUCUUAACCAUAAACUAUGCCGACUAGGGAUCGGACGAUGUUAAUUUUUCUUGACUCGUUCGGCGCCUUACGGGAAAC